rnacentral:misc_RNA from 1 species
GUUGACAAUCUCUCUAUAUAUAGCCUGUAAUUAGAUAGUUUCUCCAGUCAUUCUAGCCUUCUUUUCCGCCGGAUGAGUAACGUGGAUUCCUUAAGCAGGUUGCUGGGGAGCAGGGUCGUUUUGCCCAAAGUAUUGUCGAUCAGGUAUGAACAGCGUGAUGGCUCGAAUGAUCCGCCCCUGGUAGUAAGGAGUCUUGAUUCGUCAUCUCAGGGCUGAGAUGGCGUAGAAAGGAGUCUUGAUACGUCUUCACAAGGAAUCUUGGCUCAGAUUGUGUAGAGGAGAGUCUUGAUUCGUCAUCUCAAGGAAUCUUGGCUCAGAUGGCUAGGGUGCCAGAUGAAUUUGAAUUCUUGGCGUUGUUGGAUGGAUUUCCCUGUCAUAAUCAGAAGCGUCGAGAGCAAUACCCAUAGGAAGUUGUUGUUGUAUGAAGAUGUAUAGAGGUAUAGGUGGGGCAUAAAAGCCCUAAUAUCAGGGGUGAUGUCCCGUUUUAAAUUACCCUGUUACUGCUCUGGCCUUUGCCAUGUCGGGUGCGCUUGCAUGGCAGGUCCCUAUAUUUAAUAUAAAUUGGAUUUUUCGGGGUUUUGAGGGGGAGAUAGCACGGAUUUUUUUUUUUGGCCCGGGAUCUCUCCCCUCUUGGUGUGUGUGUGUGUUUUAUGCCUUCUCUGAUUCUUGUUUGCACGUUAUGCUCUGCAUCGUCAGAUCAGCAGUCUCUCAACGAGCUAUCCUUAAUUUGCCGCCCACCCAAAUGUAAGUCAAGGCAGAAGAAGAUUAUGAAGGUGAACGUUCAAGAUUGAACAUCGAUUUCAUCAGUGCUAACAACUCCAAAUCUAGUGCACUAUCUGUGGACAAAAUCUACUCGGAUUCAGAUAUGCAUAAUAGGCUCGUAAUUAUGGUUGCUUGGAUUCCUAAUAAUAGACCUCAGGUAUGCUUCGUGGAUGCUUGUCCUUGAUUUGAUUUAUGAUAAAGCAUGUGCAGAACAAAAAUACUGAACUAAUUUGUGGUGUUGGAGAACGUUUCCAACUCUGCACUUCCGAAAUUUUGAUUUAGAAAAUUUUUACUGUACAUACACUGCGAUACUUGAAUUCCUAGAUAUUGACGCAUCCUAACUGGUGUCCUGCAAGAUUCAAUUAUAAGAAACUGAGAACUGAAAUAUAUAAGUUCUCUGCCUGCUGAUGUCAAUUAAGUCUCUUUGCGCGAGUGGUUGUUGCUCUUCAUUACAUUCAUAGUUGGGCCAGAAGGAGCUACUGAAUUGCGGUUCUUCAAAUAUUUAGUUGAUAAGCGAUUUGCAUUUAAAUACCAAAUCUCAGAUUUGCAUUUAAAUUCCAAACCUUAAUCGCUUUGCAAAUAUGGUACUGAACUGGCGGGAUAAUGCUUAUUCAACUUGGAGCGGAAGAUGCAUGCAGAAAUUUUUGUGGUAGUGAGAAAUUUUGAUAAUAGUGGGAAGAAAAUUUUGGCUAUGGUCAUCUUUGGCAUUACUCAACUCUGGCGUUUAUUUGCUCAAUCGACACUCUGCACAUACACAAUCUGUUCAUGCUAUUAUGCUGUUACAUGAUGUACAUACCUUGAAGCUUAGAAUUUGGGUGCACAGGCCCUUUGUUACACUUUUCCGGUUAUAUGCUUUGCCAUGUUAGCACUGACUGGCUUUCUUUCUUUUUCCUGUAAAUAUCCGGUUGAGAUAUUUAGGUGUCUUUCUAUGAUGUGAAGUGAUCCGGCAUUUUCGAGUGUGUCCUGUUUGGACUUGUAACAAUUUGUUUAUGUAUCUUUAGUUUUGGCAGAGGAUGUAUGUUUUGAUACAUGAAGCUUAAAAGUGCAGAAAUGCUUUGUAGUUUUCUGAGGUUAAUGAUUUUACUUCUGUUUCAGUUGACCUUGUUCUCUUCUUCCUGUUUGAUCAAAUUUGUGACUACGAAUUUUCAGCCAAUAUAG